GAGUUUGAUCGUGGCUCAGAGUGAACGCUGGCGGUAGGCCUAACACAUGCAAGUCGAACGGUAACAGGUCUUUCGGGAUGCUGACGAGUGGCGGACGGGUGAGGAAUACAUCGGAAUCUGCUCAGUCGUGGGGGAUAACGCAUGGAAACGUGCGCUAAUACCGCAUACGACCUUCGGGUGAAAGCAGGGGAAUCUCUCGGGAUCCUUGCGCGAUUGAAUGAGCCGAUGUCGGAUUAGCUAGUUGGUAGGGUAAAAGCCUACCAAGGCCACGAUCUGUAGCUGGUCUGAGAGGAUGAUCAGCCACACUGGGACUGAGACACGGCCCAGACUCCUGCGGGAGGCAGCAGUGGGGAAUAUUGGACAAUGGGGGCAACCCUGAUCCAGCCAUACCGCGUGGGUGAAGAAGGCCUUCUGGGUUGUAAGGCCCUUUUGUUGGGGAAGAAAAACAACGGGUUAAUACCCCGUUGGUAUGACGGUACCCAAAGAAUAAGCACCGGCUAACUUCGUGCCAGCAGCCGCGGUAAUACGAAGGGUGCAAGCGUUACUCGGAAUUACUGGGCGUAAAGGGUGCGUAGGUGGUUGCGCCAGUCUGUCGUGAAAGCCCUGGGCUUAACCUGGGAAUGGCGAUGGAAACUGUGCAACUAGAGUGUGACAGAGGGUGGUGGAAUUCCUGGUGUAGCAGUGAAAUGCGUAGAGAUCAGGAGGAACAUUCGUGGCGAAGGCGGCCACCUGGGUCAACACUGACACUGAGGCACGAAAGCGUGGGGAGCAAACAGGAUUAGAUACCCUGGUAGUCCACGCCCUAAACGAUGCGAACUGGAUGUUGGGUCCAACUUGGGAUUCAGUAUCGAAGCUAACGCGUUAAGUUCGCCGCCUGGGGAGUACGGUCGCAAGACUGAAACUCAAAGGAAUUGACGGGGGCCCGCACAAGCGGUGGAGUAUGUGGUUUAAUUCGAUGCAACGCGCAGAACCUUACCUGGCCUUGACAUGCACGGAACCUUUG
rnacentral:rRNA from 1 species